rnacentral:rRNA from 1 species
ACGUAGGUGGCGAGCGUUGUCCGGAAUGACUGGGUGUAAAGGGUGCGUAGGCGGACUUGCAAGUCAGGUGUGAAAGCUAUCGGCUUAACGGGUAGCUUGCACUUGAAACUGUGAGUCUUGAGUGCAGAAGAGGUAAGCGGAAUUCCUAGUGUAGCGGUGAAAUGCGUAGAUAUCAGGAGGAACACCAGUGGCGAAGGCGGCUUACUGGACUGUAACUGACGCUGAGGCGCGAAAGUAUGGGGAGCAAACAG